rnacentral:rRNA from 1 species
AUUGAACGCUGGCGGCAUGCCUUACACAUGCAAGUCGAACGGUAACAGGUCUUCGGAUGCUGACGAGUGGCGAACGGGUGAGUAAUACAUCGGAACGUGCCUAGUAGUGGGGGAUAACUACUCGAAAGAGUGGCUAAUACCGCAUGAGAUCUACGGAUGAAAGCAGGGGAUCGCAAGACCUUGUGCUACUAAAGCGGCCGAUGGCAGAUUAGGUAGUUGGUGGGAUAAAAGCUUACCAAGCCGACGAUCUGUAGCUGGUCUGAGAGGACGAUCAGCCACACUGGGACUGAGACACGGCCCAGACUCCUACGGGAGGCAGCAGUGGGGAAUUUUGGACAAUGGGCGCAAGCCUGAUCCAGCAAUGCCGCGUGCAGGAUGAAGGCCUUCGGGUUGUAAACUGCUUUUGUACGGAACGAAAAGCCCUGGGUUAAUACCCUGGGGUCAUGACGGUACCGUAAGAAUAAGCACCGGCUAACUACGUGCCAGCCGCCGCAGUAAAAC